rnacentral:rRNA from 1 species
GAUGAACGCUGGCGGCGUGCCUAAUACAUGCAAGUCGAGCGAACAGACGAGGAGCUUGCUCCUCUGACGUUAGCGGCGGACGGGUGAGUAACACGUGGAUAACCUACCUAUAAGACUGGGAUAACUUCGGGAAACCGGAGCUAAUACCGGAUAAUAUAUUGAACCGCAUGGUUCAAUAGUGAAAGACGGUUUUGCUGUCACUUAUAGAUGGAUCCGCGCCGCAUUAGCUAGUUGGUAAGGUAACGGCUUACCAAGGCAACGAUGCGUAGCCGACCUGAGAGGGUGAUCGGCCACACUGGAACUGAGACACGGUCCAGACUCCUACGGGAGGCAGCAGUAGGGAAUCUUCCGCAAUGGGCGAGAGCCUGACGGAGCAACGCCGCGUGAAUGAUGAAGGUCUUCGGAUCGUAAAACUCUGUUAUUAGGGAAGAACAAAUGUGUAAGUAACUAUGCACGUCUUGACGGUACCUAAUCAGAAAGCCACGGCUAACUACGUG